GUGUCAGCCGCCGCGGUAAUACCAGCUCUCCGAGUGGUAGGGACGAUUAUUGGGCUUAAAGCGUCCGUAGCCGGCUUAGCAAGUCUCAUGUUAAAUUCAGCGACCUAAUCGUUGAGCCGCGGGAGAUACUACUAGGCUAGGAGGCGGGAGAGGUCGACGGUACUUCCGGGGUAGGGGUGAAAUCCUAUAAUCCCGGGACCACCAGUGGCGAAGGCUGUCGACUAGAACGCGCUCGACGGUGAGGGACGAAAGCCAGGGGAGCGAACCGGAUUAGAUACCCGGGUAGUCCUGGCCGUAAACGAUGUGGACUAAGUGUUAGGGCGGCCACGAGCCACCCUAGUGCUGAAGGGAAGCCGUUAAGUCCACCGCCUGGGGAGUACGGCCGCAAGGCUGAAACUUAAAGGAAUUGGCGGGG
rnacentral:rRNA from 1 species